GCCAGGUGCAGUGGUCCACGCCUGUAAUCCGAGUAGCUCAGGAGGCUGAGGUAGGAGGAUUGCCAGUUCAAAGCCAGCCUCACCAAAAAAGCGAGGCCCUAAGCAACUCAGUGAGACCCUGUCUCUA
rnacentral:sRNA from 1 species